GAAGGGCUACAGCUCAGCAGCAGAGCAUCAGCUUUGGAUGCAGAAGGUCUCAGGUUCAAUCCAUGGCAUCUUCA